rnacentral:rRNA from 1 species
UACGGGGGGAGCAAGCGUUGUUCGGAUUUACUGGGCGUAAAGCGUGCGCAGGCGGUGAUGUAAGACAGGUGUGAAAUCCCCGGGCUUAACCUGGGAACUGCAUUUGUGACUGCAUCGCUGGAGUGCGGCAGAGGGGGAUGGAAUUCCGCGUGUAGCAGUGAAAUGCGUAGAUAUUGGGAGGAACACCGGUGGCGAAGGCGGCUACCUGGACCGGUACUGACGCUGAGGCGCGAAAGCUAGGGUAGCAAACAGG